GUUCUUCUCCACACAUGAAAUAUAUGCAACGUAAAUCAAUUUCCAGUUAUCAAUUUAAUAAGUUAUGAACCUCGACAGUCCAAGUUAAUUAGGUCCGCUUAAAUUAACCUUCAGAUUUCCCUAGAAUCAUUGAAUUGGAUGAAUAUGCAUCGCAAACAAAUUAUUCCUAACAAGUUCUCUACAUGAACAGCAUGAUAAAGACACAAGUUAGAAUCAUUACGUUCUUUGGAAAUCAUAAGCAUCAACAAGGCAUUUGUAACUAUGAAAAGAUGAUACUCUGAAGGAAAAAUUUUGUCCUAGCUAAGAACAAGUAAGAACAUUUGAAUACAUAUGCAAACUAUUAACACAU
rnacentral:lncRNA from 1 species